CAGUGUUUCCCUGGGUUCCUGUGGUGGUGGUGGUGGUGGGGGCUGUCCUGACUGCUGGAGCUCUUCUAGUCACCAUCUACUGCUAUAUGAAGAGGAGAUCCACAGGAGGAAGUGAUGCCACAGCAGACACACAGAGUGUCCAUCCUGAUCCUAACAGUGAGACGUACACAGCUCUGAACAUGAAGACCAGGUCAUCAGAGUAUGACACCCUUGUAAAUGUGAGGGGACUCCCCAGUGACACAGCCCCUCAGAUAGAUACUGAGCUCUCCGAUUAUGAGAAAUGAAGAGAACCACCACAGAACCUGGACUGAAGAGAACCACCACAGAACCUGGACUGAAGAGCUCCAGCAUCAAACCAAAGCUAGGCCUCACAAUGCUAUUCUAUUACUAUCAUAUUGCUUUCUAAUCUAGAAUGUUUAAGACAAUGAGCUUUAACUUUUGAGUAAAUGAUGGAAUUUAGAUUGUUCUCCUAAUGAUAAAUACAGUAUGUGCACUACCGUUCAAAAGUUUGGGGUCACUUAAAAUGUACUUGUUUUUGAAAGAAAAGCAAAAAAUGUUGUCCAUUAAAAUAGCAUCAAAUUGAUCAGAAAUGCAGUGUAGACACUGUUAAUGUGGUAAAUUAAUAUUGUACCUGGAAAUGGCAGAUGUUUUAUGGAAUAUCUACAUAGGUGCACAGAGGCCCAUUAUCAGCAACCAUCACUCCUGUGUUCCAAUGGCACGUUGUGUUAGCUAAUCCAAGUUUAAAAUUGUAAAAGGCUAAUUAAUCAUUAGAAAACCAUAUUGCAAUUAUGUUAGCACAGCUGAAAACUGUUGUCUGAUUAAAGAAGCAAUGAAACUGGCCUUCUUUAGACUAGUUGAGUAUCUGGAGCAUCAGCAUUUGUAGGUUCGAUUACAGGCUCAAAAUGUCAACUUAUCUGUUUACUGUCUAUAGAUUGUAUUGCUUAUCUUUUUUCAUGGGAUUUUAUCAAUUCCAGAUUUUUAUAACAUAUAAAGUUUUGGCUUGUCUUAGUGACACAAAAAGGAAUUAUAUUGACAGGAGAUUUUAAAUAUUUGUAGCUCUCGAGUUGCUCCUGAUGUGUUAAAUACGUUUUACUUCGUA